CAGCAGCCGCGGGAAUACAGAGGGUGCGAGCGUUAAUCGGAUUUACUGGGCGUAAAGCGUGCGUAGGCGGCUUUUUAAGUCGGAUGUGAAAUCCCUGAGCUUAACUUAGGAAUUGCAUUCGAUACUGGGAAGCUAGAGUAUGGGAGAGGAUGGUAGAAUUCCAGGUGUAGCGGUGAAAUGCGUAGAGAUCUGGAGGAAUACCGAUGGCGAAGGCAGCCAUCUGGCCUAAUACUGACGCUGAGGUACGAAAGCAUGGGGAGCAAACAGGAUUAGAGACCCCGGUAGUCCCUGUCUCUUAUAA
rnacentral:rRNA from 1 species